UCUGGGAAAGUACUUUGCUUGGAACACAAACUACACGGACACCUGCUGCCUUUCGUUUGUGCACCGGCUCUAACUUUCGCUAACUUGGAAUACCCGCUGGGACGAACAUUUGCUUGUUUAGGAACACUCAUUCAACAUUGAAGCGAUACAUUUUGACUGCGAGUCUUCCCACUUGUUCUUCACCUCCAACCUCAGCGAAGCAACUUGGACCGACAACGUAAAUCCAGUCUUAGAGCCCAGCACAGACAGACAGGAAAAAGCCACAAGACACACAAAUAAUAAGCAGGACCAGUAAAAAAACACAGUAGCACAAGGGCAAAAAAAAAAAGACUGAUCCAAACAUUGUAUUUCAUACAUCUUAUAUUCUUCCAUCCGUACUUGACAUCUUGUGGGAGAACCUGAAUGAAUUGUUGUACUGUGGACUCGUCUUUGGCAAUUGGACUUGUUUUCCAGCAAUACUACACUGAACAUAUGUAACUAAAAUGUCACUCUGAGUCUCGUAAUCGUUUAAAUCUCCAACUCAAGCUGUUAACGAAACACACCACGAUCGUGGAGUCAGGUAUGUGUGUGCUUGUGUGCGUGUGUGUGUUUUUUUUCUUUUUUGUGUCCAUCUGUUUGUUAAUUAGCGGGCUAGCUGCUGAUUA